rnacentral:rRNA from 1 species
GAUGAACGCUGGCGGCGUGCCUAAUACAUGCAAGUCGAGCGAACAGAUGAGGAGCUUGCUCCUCUGACGUUAGCGGCGGACGGGUGAGUAACACGUGGAUAACCUACCUAUAAGACUGGGAUAACUUCGGGAAACCGGAGCUAAUACCGGAUAAUAUAUUGAACCGCAUGGUUCAAUAGUGAAAGACGGUUUUGCUGUCACUUAUAGAUGGAUCCGCGCCGCAUUAGCUAGUUGGUAAGGUAACGGCUUACCAAGGCAACGAUGCGUAGCCGACCUGAGAGGGUGAUCGGCCACACUGGAACUGAGACACGGUCCAGACUCCUACGGGAGGCAGCAGUAGGGAAUCUUCCGCAAUGGGCGAAAGCCUGACGGAGCAACGCCGCGUGAGUGAUGAAGGUCUUCGGAUCUUAAACCUCUGUUAUUAGGGAAGAACAAAUGUGUAAGUAACUAUGCACGUCUUGACGGUACCUAAUCAGAAAGCCACGGCUAACUACGUG